AGGUCUGUCCCUGUCCACAGCCCACUUCCGACUGCGGGAAUCAGAACUCACUGGUUCAGUCUGUACUGAUCCUGGGACUACAGCGUACCCGCACUAGAAGACCGCAUGUGUGAAAUCCUGAACCAGCGUCCAAAGCCUGUGGGAGAUGAGGUGGCUCGCAGAACCUUCCAGAAAUGCCAUAUAGGUUGGAAACAGUUCCUCUUUAGCGUCCUGUUCCCUUCUUGUAACAUCUGGUGCUGCUGAAGUCCACCUGAGAUACCUAAGAGUCAGACAUUGGCCUGCUGCUGACUUCUUCAUAUCCAGAAACAAACAUAAAGAUAAACCAGGAAAAUUAUCACCAAGCCACUGCUCAUUGAGUCCUUAGCCGCCUCCAUUCUCCACUAUCUUGGUGCCACUAAACUGUCCAUCUGCACUAAACUGCCUACUUAGUGACCAUAUGGACUGUGCUUCGUUUGAUACUGAAUCUUCAGAGCCUGCAGUAAUGUCUGGCAGACGAUUGUCACUCCAUAAAUGCAUUUGGAAAAGCACACACGCAUGCUUACCUAAUUAAAAUCUUCAUGAGCAUGACGGUAACUUUCAUAAGAAGGUUCCCACUCGGUUUAUCAUUUGAGACCAUGUAACCAGGAUUGUUAACCUCUGGAAAUGAAGUUCUCACAGAUAUUCCUUCAGUAAAAGAAUCUUAGGUAACCUCCUACCAGCCUUCCUGUCCACCCACCAGAAAAUACAUCCAUCCCACUAAGAUGGUACAAGCAUGGGUCCUAGCUUUGUUAUGUCUUGGCUUCCACAACCUUUUCUCUAACUACCUUAGCCUGCCAUCCACAGUCUGCACGUAGUCACCUUUGAUAUAGACUGCCCUGUGUUAUUUCUUUCUAAGCAUGUCAUUGCUGUCAGGAUUUCCACACCUACAUAUCCCAAGGGAAUAGGGACAGGAUUUUACCUUUAAUACAUGUUAUAAUGAUUUUCAUGUACUAGACCUUCAGUGAACACUUUUUUUUGGAGAAAAAGAAAAUUUAAAUAAAGAGUGUUUGGGAAGGACAUUAUUAAAUCAUAAGUUAAGAUGCUGGAGAGAUGGCUCAGUGGUUAGGAGCACUGGCUGCUCUUCUAGAGGAGCUAUGUUGGUUCCCACCCCAUCCCCCACUUAGUAACUAACAACCAUUCAAACUCCAGCCCCAGGGAAUCUGACACACUCUUCAGGCCUCUGUAGACCCCAGGCAUGUAGGUAGUGUGCAUAAAUACAUUUAAACAAGAUAAUUAUAUACAUAAAAUAAAAGUAUUUUUUAAUAAAAAGAUGGUUGACUUCUCGUCCCAGGUCAACCAACUCAACAUUGUUCUUCACUUUUCCAUUGGCAAACUGGGAACAAAGCAGACCCAUUACAGACACUCGAACACACACUUGAGUUUUGUGGUGAUAAUGAGUUAUGUGUGUUUAGUAUAAUUGUUUGCCUAUGCAUUUAUCAGAAGCAGCUCAAAUUCUCAAGCUCAUAGGUAGCAGGCUAGUCAAGUGAUUUCAAGAGCUCAGAAGCAAGUCACUAGCUGCUGACUAAUCCCGCCUGUGUAAGGCUCAUCUGUUGGAAUCUGCCCUCUGAGUUAUGCCAGCCUAGGGCACCCGGGCUGAUGGUGGUGUUAUAAUCAGUCAUUUAAAAAGAAAAAUACAUCUACCUUUGCAGACUCAGUUCUUUCACAGAUUAAUUUCUCCAUUAAUAUCUUAAAUAUAAGUAUUUUAGAAGAAAGGAUAAUAACACAGGUUCUGUUUGUGGAGUCAUUUUCUGAAGAAAAAAAAAUAAACACAGUCAAGGUCAUUG
rnacentral:lncRNA from 1 species